rnacentral:tRNA from 1 species
GCGGCUGUAGCUCAAUUGGAUAGAGCGUCUGCCUUCGGAGCAGAAGGUUGCAGGUUCGAGCCCUGCCAGCCGCA